rnacentral:rRNA from 1 species
AUCAGACCUGUUAUUGCCUCAUACUUCCAUUGAGAUCCCGGUUGAUCCUGCCAGUAGUCAUAUGCUUGUCUCAAAGAUUAAGCCAUGCAUGUCUAAGUAUAAACUGCUUAUACUGUGAAACUGCGAAUGGCUCAUUAAAUCAGUUAUAGUUUAUUUGGUGGUACCUUAUACUCGGAUAACCGUAGUAAUUCUAGAGCUAAUACGUGCGUAAAUCCCGACUUCUGGAAGGGACGUAUAUAUUAGUAAAGGCCGACCGAGCUUUGCUCGACCCGCGGUAAUCAUGAUAUCUUCACGAAGCGCAUGGCAAGUUUCAGCCUUGCGACCAUACUCCCCC